GGGUGACCAAAUGUCGUCGGCCUGGUAUGGAGGUAAGUCUGAGUUUAUAUAGGCCGGAUCAUCCCCUCCCACAACUCCAGGCUCCGCCUUCCCAUUUGUCGUCAGGGAAAUUAGCAGAGUAAGAGUGGAUCGUAUUAGCUAAAUUCGGUUGUGGUGUGCCGAAACCGAAUGUACGGGCAGGCCUGUAAAUAAAGAGGGCAAAACGUAUGGGCAAACUACUUUAAUACGUAACAGAAAAAUUCCAUAUAAGAGUAUGAGCAUACGUAUCACUUAGUUAAAUCGAUAAAGGCUUUCCUCAUUUCUCGCUCUGGUUGAGGAAUGUAUCGGUUGAAAGCGGAUGAUUUCCAACGUCCCAAUUUUUUAUGAUGUGUG